rnacentral:rRNA from 1 species
GCCCGCUCAAGAACUCAAAGGAAUUGACGGGGCCGCACAAGCGGAGGAGCAUGUGGUUUAAUUCGAUGAUACGCGAGGAACCUUACCUGGGCUCGAACGUAAGAUGACUGUAGGUGAAAGCUUACAUCUCUUCGGAGCAUUUUACGAGGUGCUGCAUGGCUGUCGUCAGCUCGUGUCGUGAGAUGUUGGGUUAAGUCCCGCAACGAGCGCAACCCUUGCCUUUAGUUGCCAGCAGUUCGGCUGGGCACUCUAAAGGGACUGCCGGUGUUAAACCGGAGGAAGGUGGGGAUGACGUCAAGUCCUCAUGGCCUUUAUGACCAGGGCUACACACGUACUACAAUGGCCGAUACAAAGGGCAGCGACACUGCGAGGUGAAGCCAAUCCCGUAAAAUCGGUCUCAGUCCGGAUUGGAGUCUGCAACUCGACUCCAUGAAGUUGGAAUCGCUAGUAAUCGUGGAUCAGCAUGCCACGGUGAAUACGUUCCCGGGCCUU